GUCCAGACUCCUACGGGAGGCAGCAGUGGGGAAUAUUGCACAAUGGGGGAAACCCUGAUGCAGCGACGCCGCGUGAGCGAUGAAGUAUUUCGGUAUGUAAAGCUCUAUCAGCAGGGAAGAAGAUGACGGUACCUGACUAAGAAGCCCCGGCUAACUACGUGCCAGCAGCCGCGGUAAUACGUAGGGGGCAAGCGUUAUCCGGAUUUACUGGGUGUAAAGGGAGCGUAGACGGCGAUGCAAGCCAGAUGUGAAAGCCCGGGGCUCAACCCCGGGACUGCAUUUGGAACUGUGUGGCUGGAGUGUCGGAGAGGCAGGCGGAAUUCCUAGUGUAGCGGUGAAAUGCGUAGAUAUUAGGAGGAACACCAGUGGCGAAGGCGGCCUGCUGGACGAUGACUGACGUUGAGGCUCGAAAGCGUGGGGAGCAAACAGGAUUAGAUACCCUUGUAA
rnacentral:rRNA from 1 species